AUGGUAACUCCACUUAGUGCAAAAUGGCUUCAGGGGAUCUAUUCACACAUACCGGUAGAACUACGUAAGGUGUGGAACAAAUCCCUU